GUUCUCUCACGGUCAGACCUGCAAAUAAAGUGACAAAUAUUUCCAGGCUUGUGUGGCACCACUGUCAUUUCCCUCUGGUUUUAAUGUCAUACACCAAUACAUAAAAGAAAAGAAGAAAAGAAGAAAAAAGUGCCCAGUUCCUUCUGAUAUUUCUUUUAAUACAGUUAAAAGCAUUGGCUGCAAUAUGUAUCACACUGUGAGUGCCACCCUGCUGCUCCCACUUCCCUCUUCAAAUAAAGGCUACAAGAUUUUGACUUAUUUUAGAAAUCCUAACUUCUCCAAUUUUGUUUUUUAACCACUUCAUGAAACUUUUUUCAGCUCAUGUCCACUGACCAACAAUCCCAGCCGGCACAUUUUAUGAUAUGGAGAUCUGAAAACCUCACUUAAGCACCUUUAAUUGUUCAUUAAGCCUUAUAAAGCACUGUAUUAUGGUGUCAUUUGCUAUAGUGCUACAUAUUAUAGUUUAGAUGCACAGGUUGUAUGUGUUGCCUGUGUUUUUUGGCCUUUUCCUCUCCUGUAUAUUGCUCUACCCAGGUCAUCUACACUUAAUCAGUCCACAAUGAGGUGCACCUGGCCCAGGGAGGAAGAGGUUGAAAGUUCCAGGUUCUUGUUGCAGGGAGAGGCUUCUUGUUCGUGGACUGCUGGUCUUGCCUCUCAACCUGGGAUUUUAUGUUAUUUAGUGUAGUAUCUAUCUCUUUGAUUGUUUAUAGUAGUCAUUUAAUGUCUUGGUUGUUGUGUAUGUUUUGUUAAUAAAUGCCAUAGUUUGGGUGUUUUAAAAGGUGUUUUACUUUGGGUAAAUGGUGGAUUGUUGUUUUCCCCAUAGGGCUGGGGCGUAACAGUGCUGAACAAAGAAAACAAUACAAAGCAGUAAACAAACCUCAGAGAAAAGUCCUCUUCAUAUUGUGUCAAGAAAUCCUCCAGCUUGACUGCGUCCUCUUUCAGGCGUCCCCAAGACAGUUUCUUAGGAGUAGG